CUGGGAGGACCAUCUCCUAAGGCUAAAUACUCUCUAGUGACCGAUAGUGAACCAGUACCGUGAGGGAAAGGUGAAAAGCACCCCGGAAGGGGAGUGAAAUAGAACCUGAAACCGUGUGCUUACAAGUAGUCAGAGCCCGUUAAUGGGUGAUGGCGUGCCUUUUGUAGAAUGAACCGGCGAGUUACGAUUUGAUGCAAGGUUAAGCAGUAAAUGUGGAGCCGUAGCGAAAGCGAGUCUGAAUAGGGCGUUUAGUAUUUGGUCGUAGACCCGAAACCAGGUGAUCUACCCUUGGUCAGGUUGAAGUUCAGGUAACACUGAAUGGAGGACCGAACCGACUUACGUUGAAAAGUGAGCGGAUGAACUGAGGGUAGCGGAGAAAUUCCAAUCGAACCUGGAGAUAGCUGGUUCUCUCCGAAAUAGCUUUAGGGCUAGCCUCAAGUGAUGAUUAUUGGAGGUAGAGCACUGUUUGGACGAGGGGCCCCUCUCGGGUUACCGAAUUCAGACAAACUCCGAAUGCCAAUUAAUUUAACUUGGGAGUC
rnacentral:rRNA from 1 species